rnacentral:rRNA from 1 species
UACGUAGGGGGCAAGCGUUGUCCGGAUUUAUUGGGCGUAAAGAGCGUGUAGGCGGCCAAAUAGGUCGGUUGUGAAAACUGGAGGCUUAACCUCCAGACGUCGACCGAAACCAUCUGGCUAGAGUCCGGAAGAGGAGAGUGGAAUUCCUGGUGUAGCGGUGAAAUGCGCAGAUAUCAGGAGGAACACCGGUGGCGAAGGCGGAUCUCUGGGCCAUUACUGACGCUGAGGAGCGAAAGCGUGGGGAGCGAACAGA